GCCGGGUAUGGUGGCGCAUGCCUGUAGUCCCAGCUACUGGGGAGGCUGAGGCAAGAGAAUUGCUUGAACUCGGGAGGCGGAGGUCGCAGUGAGCCGAGAUCGUGCCACUGCACUCCAGCCUGGGUGACAGAGUGAGACUUUGUCUCAA
rnacentral:SRP_RNA from 2 species